UACGAAGGGUGCAAACGUUGCUCGGAAUUAUUGGGCGUAAAGCGCACGUAGGCGGCUUUGCAAGUCCGAUGUGAAAUCUUAUGGUUUAACCAUAAAAGUGCAUCGGAAACUGCAGAGCUUGAGUACUUAAGAGGAUCGCGGAAUUCCCGGUGUAGAGGUGAAAUUCGUAGAUAUCGGGAGGAACACCAGUGGCGAAGGCGGCGAUCUGGGAAGAUACUGACGCUGAGGUGCGAAAGCGUGGGGAGCGAUCCGG
rnacentral:rRNA from 1 species